CCUACUUUUGCUGAUCAGCCAUGUACGUACAUGCAUGUAGAUCAAAAGUGUUCAACACAAAGCAAGAGACAGCUAGGAUACUGAGUGUAGGCUUAAAGGAGCCUAUCUUCCUGUGUGUUGUCAGAUGAGGCUGUGUGGAGAGUAGCUCUAUCACAAGUCAGUGGAGGACCAGGAGAGGAGCAUCCUAGAGAGGAAGAGGAAGAUACAGCACGUCAUUACAGUGUGUGAUAGGGCAUGCCUGACAGGUCUGGGGGCUGACAGCUGUAAGGAGUGUGCCCUGGGAUAUGAGGAGGUGGAGGGAUCUUGUACAGAUAUUGAUGAGUGAGAGAAGAUGACUCCAUCUGUUCUGAUGGUACCUACUGUCUCAACACCCCGGGGAAGCAUCGCUGUCAGGUGUGUGACAAGUGUUGUAGCGUGUGCAAUGGAGCGGGACCAUCAAAGUGUGGGGACUGCUCUACGAGAUACACUAGGAACAACAAGGGAGUCUGUGAAGAUGUGGACGAGUGUGAGGUGGAGUCGUUGUGCUCAAGUGGUACCUACUGUGAGAAUACUGCCGGGUCACAUGACUGUAAAGAUUUUGUCCAUCUUGAGAGCAGUGAAAACUCAUCUAAAGACAUUUGUAUUUGAGGGCACUACUCUGAACCUGCGUCCAUCGUGCUUUGUCUGCAUCACCAUGAACCAUGAACCCAGGUUAUGCUGGCUGCUCUGAACUACCAGACAAUCUAAAGGUGUUGUUUCGUACAGUGGCCAUGAUGGUGCCAGACUAUGCCAUGAUUGGAGAGAUCUCUCUCUACUCUUAUGGUUUUGUGGAUGCUCGUAAUCUGGCCGUCAAGAUUGUCAUGACCUAUGCAUAGACUGUGUUGAGAGCAACUCUCCAGCCAACUCCAUUCUGACUAUGGCAUGCGUGCAGUCCAGUCAGUGUUGGUGGCAGCCGGUCAUCUGAAACGGAAGUACCCUAACAAACAUGAAGAUGUGUUACUGCUCAGAUCCAGGCCUACCGUAUUACUAGAAUAUUUUGUCGGUAAAAAAUCUUUGCGAUCUAACUAUUCCGUUCUAUUCCCUCACCAAAUUUUGAAUUUAAACAUAUCAUUUGAUUCCUAGCUUUCAGAAAAUCCCCAAAAAUUUGAAAUUGCAACUAAAGUUAUGGCUGUUUAAAGAGCCCCAGUACCACUUGUACUUUCUAAGGUCAUGUUGUAGUGGAAUUUAAAGUGUUUUAACAACCCCCCUCCUAUAUACAAUACCAUUGCUAUUCAUCUACCGUAGUAACCCCCCCCUACACACACACACACACACACACACACACACCAGGCAAGACCAAGGUCCUAGGUACGCAAGUUAUUGUCGUUCAAAUAGUUGUUAUCCAACCUUGGUGAUUAUCCAAACUGCAUGGUUCUGUUUGAUAGCUAACUUUGAGUGCUCGUAACUUGAAUUAUGCAUUUUCACGAUUAAAAGAUUAAUUUUGUAUCCCUUUGAAAUAGCUAUAUGGUAUUGAUGAGUGUGUGCUGAUUGGUAGCAAUGUGUUGUUGUUAGUUUGUUUGUUUGUGUAUUGUUGUAGCACACGCUAAUUGUGCGUAUUGUCCGACUAGCUGUUCAUGCGUGUGUGUAUACCUAGUUAUAGGUUGCUAGUGAUGUGCCCACACUGGUCGGUGGUGGUGGUUGGUACUAACCACCGGCCUCUACAUUUUAGGGGAGAUUUAGAAAUAAAAAUAGCCACUACUUUUCGAAAUAAUUAUUUGCUAACUUAGACUGUCCAUAACUUAAGUUUUGUAAAACAUAAGCUACAGUAGCGGUCAAAAAAAGUACCCGUUCCGUUUACGUAGUACGUCCGUUGUACAUUCGAAGCGUUUCCGUUUUGACACCGCAUCAAAAGCGUUGAAUUUACUGUACCGUUGCUAAUUACCAUUGCACGUUGCAAGUGCGUUUUGCAGAAAAGUUUUAGGAAACGAACAAAGACGAGUAUUGUAGCUAGUCUAGCUACUUAGCUUAUGCUAUGCGUUUUGCAGAAAAGUUUUAGAAAACGAACAAAGAGACAAUCCUAGUCAUCUCGAGUAUUGUAGCUAGUCUAGCUACUUAGCUAUGCUAUGGCUAAGUCUAGCUGUAAGCCUAGCUCUAGAUCUACAACAAAGACAUAAAACGUACCAUUCACAAGUUCUUUAACCUUCUCAUCAAAAAGGAUGUCUGCAGUCUCUAUAGAGUCCUAUCUCUGUUCUACAAGGUUAGAAAACGCUAGCUAGCUAGCUAUAAUUAUAUCUAACAGCUAACUGCUGCAAGAGUUCUAGCUAGCUAGCUGCGUGCAGAGCAGCAUUGGGUGUGGCCGAAGGAAAAAUUUAACAACGGUUGAUUAGAAAAAAAACGCAACGAUACGUAGCGUAUCUUGAGCGUAUUUUUAUCGUUUAUUUUGUAACGUACCAGCAUACUACGGACGUACUACGUAAACAGAACGGGUAUACUUUUUUUUGACCGCUACUGUAGUAUAUUUAUAGUGACCUCCAGUGAUUAA